UUAGCCUAACGAUUAUGGAUAAAGAAGAUGAAAAUUGUGAUGCAAAAUUGCAAAUAUUGAAUAGAAAAAGAAAAUAUACUGUUUCUAAAAAGUUCAUCUGUUCAACUGUGCCUUACUUUGAAAGAAUGUUUUCUUAUGAUUAUUCAUCAGCGCCUAAGAAAAACAAAGUGGAACUAGAUUUUGAUGAAUGCGUCUUCAAUUCUAUCCUCGAUUGGAUUCAUUCUGGAUCUUUCUGCAUUCAAAUGGAGACUGUGAUAAGUUUUUACGACGCAGCUGAUUAUUUGAUGAUAAACGAACGUUUGCUGCAACCUUGUCUCACUUAUUUCCAUGAAAACUUCACUGUUGAACAUCUUCCAGUCGUUCUAAAGCAGAUUACCCAAGUGUCUAAGUUGAUCAAUUUAGGAUCAAUUGAAAACGUCAUUUGUCGUCAUUUCUUGACGAUCGCCAAUUCCAAUAUGGAUAGUUUCACAGACUACCCAGUUGAGGCAGUUGAAUCUAUUCUCAAAUUAGAUUUAAUGGUUUUCUCUGAAUAUCAAAUUUUUGAAUCAAUCAUCAAGUGGGUCCUUGCUAAGGUUAGCUCUCGUAAAGCUUUACUUCCACAGUUAUUAAACUGUGUUCGUUGGUCUUACAUGGAUUUUGAUGAAAUUUCUAAGGUAAAGGAUAAUGAGUUAAUAAAGGCACUACCUUCAGAUUUAGUUAAAUCUUCAUAUGUUGGAUUCGAUCGCACCAAACAAAACUUCUUUGUUUCUAUCCAUCAAAGAGAUACAUCAAUAUUAAAAUUAAAAGCGUUUGAUAAUGAAUUUUUUUGUUUCACGAUCGGUGAUUUUACUCAAGACGAUUCUAUGUCACUUGAGUUUGUUCAUGAAGAACACUCUGCAGAUAUUUUAUUCGAUUCUGGAAGAAACGGAAUCCGAAUCGAUUGGAUUAAAAGGACAUUUCGAUGGCUUGACUUUAAAGUUGCCCGUAAUACUUACUACAGUAAAUUAAGGAAAUUCAUUGUAGAGGUUCGGGGCAAAAGAUGCUAUUGUUACUUGGAAGACGAAGACGCUACACUUUCUUUUCCGAUUUCCUCAAAAGAUUACUUGCUCCUUGAAUCCAAUGGUAAAUUCAUCGCAAUUGGUAAAACUCCCGAUGAGAAAAAGUGGUUUGGUAUGUUUCCAGCUAGACAUGAAAGUUGGUUCAAUGGUUAUGACGGCCAUGAACACUCUUUUAAAGCCACUGUUUUGGACGAUGUUGUUUACAUAUUGACAAAGAAUCUCCAAUUUAUUCAAUUCAAUUAUGAAACUAAAUGCUUCAAUAAGAGUGAGCCAUUCAAAGGAAAAAAAUGGGAUUACAAUGACUUAAUCUUAACUUCACAUCAAACAAAGGAUGACAAAGUUUAUUUAGUCAAUAAAUCCUCAGGAAAAGUACAUUAUUUCUGUAUAAAUCAGAAGAAAUGGAUCGAGAAAUGUUGUUUUGUGAAUGUAAAUUUUUGUUCCAACAGCUCCAAUGUUGCUGUUGAUAAGUUAGUUGCUUUCACUUCAACGUUUUUACCAAUCAAAAAAAUCAGACCUUUGUAUAAGCAUAGUGCUAAUUAACUGCAUAAUUACCGAUGUACCUUUUGUUCAACUUUAGUGCCUAAAUUUUUAGACAAUCACACUGUUAUUUGGAAGACAAAGACGCUAAACUUUUUUUUCGCUUCUCUCACGUCAGAAGAUUACUUACUCCUUGAAUCUAAUGGUAAAUUCAUUUUAAUUGGUAAAACUCUCGACGAGAAGUGGUUUGGUCUUUUCCCAGUUAGACAUGAAAGUUGGUUCAACAAUUAUAUGACCACUCUUUUAAAGCCACUAUUUGGACGAUGUUGAUUAUACAUUGUAUAUUUACAAAUUUUUCUCGAAUUCAUUCAAUCUAAUUAUGAAAUUAAAUGCUUCAAUAAGAGUGAGCCUUUUCGAAGACGAAAAAUGGGAUUUCAAUGAUUUAAUCUCAACUUCUCAUCAAACAAAUGACGAUAAAGUUAUUUUGGUCAACAAAUCGUCAGGAAAAGUACAUUAUUACUGCAUUAAGCAGAACAAAUGGUUACAGAAAUAUCGAAUCAUGCACGUAAAUUUCUGUUCCAACAGCUCCAAUGCUGUUUUGAUAAGUUAGUUGCUUUACUUCAACGUUUUUACCGAUUAAAGAUAUCAAACCUUUGGAUAGGCAACGCUUUUAUUAACUUUGAACUACCUGUAUCACAUUCAGACUUGAAUAUUCAUUGGUUUCAAUUGUUAGUGUCAUUAAAUGUAGAAUU